CACAAGUGUCGGCGGCGCACAGUGCGCAACUAUUGUCAACGGCCUCGGCGAUGGACAAAUGGCGUGUUUAACGACGGUUAGCCGCGCGCACUUCGCGAAUAUAUCGCUAUAAAUAUACCUGUUCUCGCCGCAAUUGUCUACCCUUUGUGCUUGCUUCGCUUUUGUUUCUUUUUUCCUUCCCUUUGUUUUCGGUGGCGCAAUCGCUUCGCGGUACCGGGGGUGAAAACUCGCGCAACGUAUUCCAUUCUGUGCAAAUGAGAGAAACAGGCGGAUCGAUGAAUUUUCAUGAAAAGUUAUCGCGUCGCGAUCGUAAGGUCCGAUUUCACCGGGAGCCCAGUUGGCCGCUGCCGGUCGCAAGCGUCGCAGUGCCUCAGAGUUUUUCAGGGUAAAAACCGACUCGUCCGAUAUAAACGAGAGAGAUACGAGAUGUCGCAAAAAUACUCGGCGGAGGAAGUCUCGCGGCACAACAACGCCGACGACCUGUGGAUAGCGAUUCACGGCAAGGUCUUCGACGUCACCAAGUUCCUCAAGGAACAUCCCGGCGGUGAGGAGGUGCUGCUGAGUCUAGCCGGGGGAGACGCCACCAAGUGCUUCGACGACAUCGGUCACUCGCAGGAAGCCAUACAGCUGAAGGACACUUUCGAGAUCGGCACACUCCAGGGCGAGCUGACCUCACCGGUCGCGGCAGCGAGUACCGGUCCGACGGUGGACGACGACGACUGGGUGUACGAGGAGCCGAAGAAGGAGGCCAACCCCUACAUCCCCGUCUUCAUCGGGCUGGCCGUCGUCGUCUACGCUGUUCUGUUCUACUACAUCUUCUAGUGACUCUAAUAACCAUACCCAUCGACUAGUGAAGUGUUGCAAAGUGCUCGAAUGUAUGUGCGUGUUGUGUAUCUAGAAUAACUACGUGUAAGCCCGCAGUUUAUCGAAUUUCCGCGUGGAAUGCUGUACGUCUCCGGGUUUGUUGAUUUAAUAAACGUCGUUCACCACCGAAUCAUCUCUGUUUAUAAAUAGUUCUCUCCUGCCCGAAACUAUCAUCAUCGAAGCAAUCACGCGUCGAUUCGAACAUCUCAUUAGCGACCGAUCGUGGCAGCUACCAAACGCGAUGAUUUUCAAAAUUUUUUAAUGUAUAUUUAUUUCUCGUGCGGCGUAGCAAAGGCGCAGUAGUCGCUAUCGCGUCAUCGUGACUCGGCAAGUCGGGGGGGACGCCACCGGUUCUAUAUCUCUCCUUAUCGCCGUGCGAGCGUCUAUAUAGGUAUACAUCUCCGCGUUGUAAACACGCGAGUGCAUCGCUAGCUGGAAAAUUAUUUUUCGAGAAAAGCGCGCCAAUUCGAGAGGACUGAUACAAUGUAAUGCACGCAGAGCAACAGGUGCGCCUGACGCGAUUUAUUUUUUAAAUUCAAUGAAAAUUGCAAUAAGCUCGUUGUUAUUCGCGCGAGCUUCGCGGGCCGAAGGUGAAAAUCCGCACACGCGCGGAAUAUGAAUAUUUUUGGAGUGUCGAGUAGUCGUUUCAUGAAAUCUCCUCCGCAUACCGGGUCGCGAUUACACGGUCGGUCAUCAAUUCGCUAUUACGGCGCGAAAACAAGAUUAUCUUCGAAAAAAAUCGCGAUACGUCGAAGUGACAGCUGCAUGUGUUGUCAAUCGGUGCGGAUCUCACCGCAGUCCCGAAAACAGAGCGAGCUGUGUGCAAUAUCGACGCGAGAUUAAUCGCGCGAAUCUACAGCGAAUUUACGAUAAGCGCGGAGGAUUGUUAUACCGAGAUAGCGACGGUAAUCGAUGCUAUACACUUAUACACGUGCGCCGCAUCUAAAACUGCCGCAUCACAACUAGACAGCUGUGAUGAUGUUCACGUUUUGUUUUCGUGCUUAUCAUAAAAAAACUACAUAAUCAUCGCGGCCAUUCAUUCGCGAAUAUUCGAAGCCAACACAACAACCGGUCACUCGAUAAGCCGUAUCAGCGCAUUUAUUGAAAUGCACACAUCUCGCGACUUAUCUAAUGCGGCUCAUGCAUUCGCGCAGCAGGAAAACAUGCUAAUGCCGGAGCCUCUGAAUAAUCAACAUUAGGCGAGCGACGCGAGUCUCUCGAAAAAUCAUCUCACGGAGGAUGAGAUAUGCUCCGAUAAUCGUCGCACUCCUAUACAUCGCCGCCUCCAUGUGUGUGUGUGUGUGUAGAGACGAAUAACGAGAGCGGGGAUGAGAGAGAAUAGUGGGGAGGAGCAGAGCCGAGCGCAAAGACAAGUCCCACCAAGCCGGACAGCGUCAGUCUGCUCGCGAAUGCGGCUUCGCGGUGAAGAGGCUUGCGCGUUGGCUCGUAUUUACCGUCCGACUAUUGCUAUCGAGGCGUCUCUUGGAGUUUCAGCUGGUUAAGUAAAAGGAAAAAUGCCGGAGAUGAAGCAGUACACGUUCGAGGAGGUGCAGAAGGCCAGCGACCAGACUCGCACCGUCAUAGUGAUCCACGACAAAGUCUACGACGUCACGCCCUUCCUGAACGAACAUCCAGGAGGCGAGGAGAUCCUUCUGGACCACGGUGGCAAGGACGCCAGCGAGGACUUCAACGACGUCGGCCACUCGACCGACGCCCUCGAGAUGAUGACCAAGUACCAGGUCGGCGAGAUCGUCGAGGCUGAGAGGCGAAACCCGCCCAAGAAGGACGGCUGGAAAGCCGGCUACAACAGCAAGAACCCCGAGAACGAGAAGUACGUGAGCGGGCCGGGUAUGCCUUUUGGUCUGCUGGUCGGUGGUGUCGUACUCGGUGCUCUCGCCAUCUUCUACCUCUUCCUGUGAGGCUUCUCUCAUAUACAAAGUUUUUGAGGACGUUGUGCGGUGUUUUUGAGGUUAGGUGUUGCGGGUAUACCUAACUUCGAGCGGUAUGGAUUCGUUUCGCGAGGAUUAUUUAUAUAUAGAUAACGUUAUCUUAUUAUAUAUGUAUAGAGAGAAAUUUUGUAAAUUUUUUACUGCAGUGUUUGUGUAAAGCCUUACGUGCAUUUCGAAGAUCCAUGAUUCCGUUGUUGUUUUUCUAUGAGUAUACAAGUAAUCGACACAGUGUUAUGAGCUUUGAUGCGUUAAGCGGUGGUUCGAGAGGUUGUUGUUUUUCAUUGCGACACGAAGGAAAGUAUACUUAUAUAUUAUUGCAACGUUACAAUGUUUCAUAUUCGGCUGGUGUUUUAAUCCGACUGGGUGCAUUUUUCUUCGAUAUUCUUAGAUUGAUUGUAAAAUAAAAAAAAACGUCGUUUGCCGAUUUGACGACGAGUUGUAAAAAUUUUUAACGCAUUCCACAAUAUAAUUAUAUAAUAUAGAAAA